rnacentral:rRNA from 1 species
AUUGAACGCUGGCGGUAUGCUUAACACAUGCAAGUCGAACGGAAACGAUACUAGCUUGCUAGUAGGCGUCGAGUGGCGGACGGGUGAGUAACGCGUAGGAAUCUGCCUGAUAGUGGGGGAUAGCCCGGAGAAAUUCGGAUUAAUACCGCAUAAUCUAUUCGUAGUAAAGUGGGGGACUUUCGAGCCUCACGCUAUCAGAUGAGCCUGCGUAAGAUUAGCUAGUUGGUAGGGUAAAAGCCUACCAAGGCGACGAUCUUUAGCUGGUCUGAGAGGAUGAUCAGCCACAUCGGGACUGAGACACGGCCCGA